CUGUAAGACAACCAAAUUUAUGGCCUGAUCUGGUGAUCUUCAAACAACAAAAGCUAUGUGAUGAAGUACCAAGGAUCAAGGAGGCAAUUGCAAAUGGCACAGAAGCCUAAACUAUGCUGGAAGGACUGAAAGCAAUAAAUUAUUCCUCCAAGCUCUACUCUGAAACAAGGGAGUCCAAAUUCGUAAAAAAUGCCAGUGCCAGAGCUUUUGUUUUCACUUGUCUCAGUCUACUGUGAAACCAUGUGGACAUACGGUGCAUCUAUGUUGCCCAGAAAUGUAAGGGUGGGUUCUGAAAGCCAAUGUGUCAUCCUGAAUGAAAAAAGAAGACAGGAUAUUUAGAUAGGUUUCGGUGCAAGAG